rnacentral:rRNA from 1 species
AUUGAACGCUGGCGGCAGGCCUAACACAUGCAAGUCGAGCGGUAGCACAGAGAGCUUGCUCUCGGGUGACGAGCGGCGGACGGGUGAGUAAUGUCUGGGAAACUGCCUGAUGGAGGGGGAUAACUACUGGAAACGGUAGCUAAUACCGCAUAACGUCGCACGACCAAAGUGGGGGACCUUCGGGCCUCACACCAUCGGAUGUGCCCAGAUGGGAUUAGCUAGUAGGUGGGGUAAUGGCUCACCUAGGCGACGAUCCCUAGCUGGUCUGAGAGGAUGACCAGCCACACUGGAACUGAGACACGGUCCAGACUCCUACGGGAGGCAGCAGUGGGGAAUAUUGCACAAUGGGCGCAGGCCUGAUGCAGCCAUGCCGCGUGUAUGAAGAAGGCCUUCGGGUUGUAAAGUACUUUCAGCGGGGAGGAAGGCGGUGAAGUUAAUAGCUUCACCGAUUGACGUUACCCGCAGAAGAAGCACCGGCUAACUCCGUGCCAGCCGCCGCCGUAA